rnacentral:rRNA from 1 species
AUUGAACGCUGGCGGCAGGCUUAACACAUGCAAGUCGAGCGAGCGGCGGACGGGUGAGUAAUGUCUGGGAAACUGCCUGAUGGAGGGGGAUAACUACUGGAAACGGUAGCUAAUACCGCAUACCAUCAGAUGUGCCCAGAUGGGAUUAGCUAGUUGGUGGGGUAAUGGCUCACCUAGGCGACGAUCCCUAGCUGGUCUGAGAGGAUGACCAGCAACACUGGAACUGAGACACGGUCCAGACUCAUACGGGAGGCAGCAGUGGGGAAUAUUGCAAAAUGGGCGCAAGCCUGAUGAAGCAAUGCCGCGGGUGUGAAGAAGGCCUUCGGGUUGGAAAGCACUUUCAGCGAGGAGGCGUUACUCGAAGAAGAAGAACCGGCUAACUCCGUGCCAGCAGCCGCGGUAAUUC